rnacentral:rRNA from 1 species
GUGGGGAAUCUUGCGCAAUGGGCGAAAGCCUGACGCAGCCAUGCCGCGUGAAUGAUGAAGGUCUUAGGAUUGUAAAAUUCUUUCACCGGGGACGAUAAUGACGGUACCCGGAGAAGAAGCCCCGGCUAACUUCGUGCCAGCAGCCGCGGUAAUACGAAGGGGGCUAGCGUUGCUCGGAAUUACUGGGCGUAAAGGGCGCGUAGGCGGACAGUUUAGUCAGAGGUGAAAGCCCAGGGCUCAACCUUGGAAUUGCCUUGGAUACUGGCUGUCUUGAGUACGGGAGAGGUGAGUUGAACUCCGAGUGUAGAGGUGAAAUUCGUAGAUAUUCGGAAGAACACCAGUGGCGAAGGCGACUCACUGGCCCGUUACUGACGCUGAGGCGCGAAAGCGUGGGGAGCAAACAGGAUUAGAUACCCUGGUAGUCC